AACGCGUGGGCAACCUGCCCUCUAGAUGGGGACAACAUCCCGAAAGGGGUGCUAAUACCGAAUGUGACAGCAAUCUCGCAUGAGGAUGCUGUGAAAGAUGGCCUCUAUUUAUAAGCUAUCGCUAGAGGAUGGGCCUGCGUCUGAUUAGCUAGUUGGUGGGGUAACGGCCUACCAAGGCGAUGAUCAGUAGCCGGUCUGAGAGGUUGAACGGCCACAUUGGGACUGAGACACGGCCCAGACUCCUACGGGAGGCAGCAGUGGGGAAUAUUGCACAAUGGGGGAAACCCUGAUGCAGCGACGCCGCGUGGAGGAAGAAGGUCUUCGGAUUGUAAACUCCUGUUGUUGAGGAAGAUAAUGACGGUACUCAACAAGGAAGUGACGGCUAACUACGUGCCAGCAGCCGCGGUAAAACGUAGGUCACAAGCGUUGUCCGGAAUUACUGGGUGUAAAGGGAGCGCAGGCGGGAAGACAAGUUGGAAGUGAAAUCUAUGGGCUCAACCCAUAAACUGCUUUCAAAACUGUUUUUCUUGAGUAGUGCAGAGGUAGGCGGAAUUCCCGGUGUAGCGGUGGAAUGCGUAGAUAUCGGGAGGAACACCA
rnacentral:rRNA from 1 species